UACGGAGGCCCCAAGCGUUGUUCGGAUUUAUUGGGCGUAAAGGGUGCGUAGGCGGCGUGGUAAGUCUGGUGUGAAAGGCGGGGGCUCAACCCCCGGACUGCAUUGGAUACUGCCAUGCUAGAGGACUGGAGAGGAGAAUGGAAUUCACGGUGGAGCAGUGAAAUGCGUAGAUAUCGUGAGGAAGGCCAGUGGCGAAGGCGAUUCUCUGGACAGUACCUGACGCUGAGGCACGAAGGCUGGGGGAGCGAACAGG
rnacentral:rRNA from 1 species